rnacentral:rRNA from 1 species
GAUGAACGCUAGCGAUAGGCUUAACACAUGCAAGUCGAGGGGCAGCAUGGUCUUAGCUUGCUAAGACUGAUGGCGACCGGCGCACGGGUGCGUAACGCGUAUGCAACUUGCCUCACAGAGGGGGAUAACCCGUCGAAAGACGGACUAAUACCGCGUACACUCUAUUUUGGGCAUCCAAGGUAGAGGAAAUGAAAUUCGCUGUGAGAUAGGCAUGCGUCCCAUUAGCUAGUUGGUGAGGUAACGGCUCACCAAGGCGACGAUGGGUAGGGGAACUGAGAGGUUGAACCCACACACUGGUACUGAGACACGGACCAGACUCCUACGGGAGGCAGCAGUGAGGAAUAUUGGUCAAUGGGCGAGAGCCUGAACCAGCCAAGUCGCGUGAAGGAUGACUGUCUUAUGGAUUGUAAACUUCUUUUGUAGGGGAAUAAAGAGGGGCACGUGUGCCCCAGUGAAUGUACCCUACGAAUAAGCAUCGGCUACUCCGUG